ACCUACGGGGGGCAGCAGUGGGGAAUAUUGGACAAUGGGGGGAACCCUGAUCCAGCGACGCCGCGUGAGUGAAGAAGUAUUUCGGUAUGUAAAGCUCUAUCAGCAGGGAAGAAAGAAAUGACGGUACCUGACUAAGAAGCCCCGGCUAACUACGUGCCAGCAGCCGCGGUAAUACGUAGGGGGCAAGCGUUAUCCGGAUUUACUGGGCGUAAAGGGCGCGUAGGUGGGCGCUUAAGUCAGGUGUGAAAACUCCGGGCUCAACCUGGAGACUGCACUUGAAACUGGGUGUCUUGAGGGCAGGAGAG
rnacentral:rRNA from 1 species